CAGCAGUGGGGAAUAUUGCACAAUGGGGGGAACCCUGAUGCAGCGACGCCGCGUGAGUGAAGAAGUAUUUCGGUAUGUAAAGCUCUAUCAGCAGGGAAGAAAAUGACGGUACCUGACUAAGAAGCCCCGGCUAACUACGUGCCAGCAGCCGCGGUAAUACGUAGGGGGCAAGCGUUAUCCGGAUUUACUGGGUGUAAAGGGAGCGUAGACGGCAGAGCAAGUCUGAAGUGAAAGCCCGCGGCCCAACUGCGGGACUGCUUUGGAAACUGCCCGGCUAGAGUGCUGGAGAGGUAAGCGGAAUUCCUAGUGUAGCGGUGAAAUGCGUAGAUAUUAGGAGGAACACCAGUGGCGAAGGCGGCUUACUGGACAGUAACUGACGUUGAGGCUCGAAAGCGUGGGGAGCAAACAGGAUUAGA
rnacentral:rRNA from 1 species